UAGCCGUUGGUUCUGGGCCCGCUGAUUACAGGAUGUGUGUGUCUUCAAACUGCCGGAUUUAGGUUGUGUUCUCUCCCCUUCCUCCUCAUCUGCCCCCUUUUUGCCACCGUUUCCACUUUCUGCUGCCACAGUCUCUGUCUGUCAGCCCUAGAACGUGGACUGAGUGCUGUACCUUCUCUCAGUCCCUUUUGGAUCCCCAGAGGUCUUUCCGAAUUGGACAAAACCUACAGACCCCACUCCCCAGAGGAGUGCUUAUGGACCCCACUGUUUACAUGUCAGAAGGAGGGGUUGGACUCCCUGAAAGCCCAGCCACAGACCUGAGACAAAGAGCCUCUGUUCAGAUGCCUCCCCACGGAGGGAGUUUGGAGUCCCAUCCAGACCUUGAGCCCCUUGAGAGGAGCCCAGCCCCAGCGCUUCUUGGUAGCACCCUCAUCUCAGGCGAACAUGGCCUGGGUGACCAUGGAGACCCCCACGGUGACCAGGAACUUUCAGAUGCCCAGGCUGAAGCUCAGAGCUCAUGCCCUGUGGCCUGUCCAAGCUCCCUGCCUUUCCCUCUCCCCAACCCAGGCCUCCCUCCCCACAACACCCCUGUCCUCCUGAGAUGCGCUAAAAUGGUGUUCUUAAAAAAUACCCCCUGAGAGCUCAUUUCUGUCUGCUAGAAAAUGCCUCCCACUCAUGCUUUUCUCUCUCCUCCAAAUAACUUGUCAAAAAAAAGCCUUUCCCAAAUUUAAAAUCUUGCAAGAGAUAGUACAACAAAGGUAGCCCAGUUCUUCCUCAGUGCCAUCCUGGUGUGUUCAGGUUUUUUGGCAAAACCUUUGAGGAGCUGGUGGGUGGCAGGACCAGGUUAAAGGGACUGAGAGCAGAGAGCUCCCGACUGCUGAGAUACGAGGAAGAGGGGGCAGUGGAGAGCACACUGAGGGCUCAGUGUUGAUGACAUCCAGCCUCUUCGUGCCAGAGGUCCAGUUCCUCUUCGUGCAGGAACAGAAGCUGCUCAGGGUCCUGCAGAGAUGGUGGCAGAGCCCAGGUAGAACCUGGCACCCCUGUUGCCUCCAAGACCACCUCAGAUGCUGGCUUGGCCGCCUCCCAUGCCCCCUUCCCCUUUGCCAGCAGCUCAGUCCUUCAAGAGCAGGGCCUUGGCAGGUCUGUCUUAAACACCCGUGGGAGUCUGGCCAUCAGCCUGGCCUAGCACUGCUGUGCCCUGUCCCUGGGGUUGUGGGAAGCUGGUAGCAUCCUGGCAGCCCGAGGGGAGAAGGGCUCCCCCGAAGCAUGUGCCCAGCAAGCCACAGUCUGCAGAGUCAGCCCUCUCACCAGAUUUCCUGGGGCUCAGGGAUUCUGUCCCCUUCUUCCCAGCCCCUUGAGAGUGUGUGGCAGCGCUGGCAGCUCUGAGUGCCUGUUGAUCUCUCUGCUGGCAGCCAGGUGCGCCUGCGUCCACCUCCUCUCCUCGGCUUCUGCUGAAACGACUUCACUUUCUCAUGUUUCCUCCCACCUCCCUUUCUCUCCAGAGGCCAUUAACUGUUUGAUGCGAGCAAUCGAGAUCUACACAGACAUGGGCCGAUUCACGAUUGCGGCCAAGCACCACAUCUCCAUUGCUGAGAUCUAUGAGACGGAGUUGGUGGACAUUGAGAAGGUGAGUGGCAGCAGGGCCCUGCAUGGGCUGGCAGCCAGAACCAGCGCUGCUCUCUCUUCUUCCCACCAGAGGAGUCCUCUGGUGUCUGAGUGCCGAGAAGGGGGCAUGGGGCGCCGGCAGAACUUGGAUAACGGGGACUGGCUGUGUCCCAGGCAGGCAGGGUGGAGGGUGUGGAAGCUUCACGGAGGCCUCCUCUCCCUUCCCUGCCCUCCCCUGGAACCCAUCCCCCGUGUCUCCCCAGGCCAUCGCCCACUACGAGCAGUCCGCAGACUACUACAAAGGCGAAGAGUCCAACAGGUAGCCCCCUUCCUGCCUGCCCCAGCCCCGCAGGGACCGCCACCACUUCCCCUCACUACUCCUCCCCACACAGCUCAGCCAACAAGUGUCUGCUGAAGGUGGCUGGCUACGCCGCGCUGCUGGAGCAGUAUCAGAAGGCCAUUGACAUCUACGAACAGGUGGGGACAGGUGGGGACAGGUGGGGAUGGCGGCUCCCACCCUGCCCCGUCUCAGGGCCUAUGCCUCUUCCUAAGCUCCGGCACCUUGUUCUGGAACCACCCCUCCCCCGGCUUGCCCUCUGCCUCUCCCCCAGCAUCCCUUGCCAUGUCAUCCCCCCACCCCGUCUUCAGCCUGGCUGAACGUUCUCCACCUACGACUCCAUGCCGUGCCAGCACCGUCUCUCUCCCUGGCUGUGCCCCUCCCACACCCCUCGCAGAGCUUUCUGGAGGGGCCCAGAGUGAGGCUGGCUAAAGAACCCAGAGAGAGGGAAUGGGAAGAACUGCCAAGAGGCCCAGGGUGGCCGUGGGCACUCCACCCCAUGGCACGAUGGUCCUCAUCCACAGUGGGAGGGAGGGAGUGUCACAUGGGGUCCCCCCAGCGUGCGCGGAGCCCUGCGUGAUGGCCGAGAAAAAGGCAGGCAGCUGGCCCCCGGGGAGAGAGGAGCGGGCGCCGCCUCUCAUGUUCCCGCUGCCUGCCGCCCCUCUGCCCACCGCCGUGCCAGCCUCCCGUUGGUCCUGACAGCCAGGCUGCCUCCUUCCCACUGUCUCAGGCUCUCAGAAGGCCCACAAACACCUGGCUACAGCCUCCACCCCCCACCCAGCCGCCAUCACACCCUGAUCUUGGUCACUCACGCACUGGCAGCUGACCUCCCCAAGCUGGUCCCUGGCUCCCUGCCCUUGGGGUCCUGGGUUAACAGGGCCUCACCCCGGGACACAGACCCAGCUCCCAGCUGGCCCCCCAGUGCCUGGCAGUGGCUCUGGGCCUCUGGCUGCUUGCCCUGAGCUCACAGUGCCACUUCUCCGUGGCUACAGGUGGGGACCAAUGCCAUGGACAGCCCCCUCCUCAAGUACAGCGCCAAAGACUACUUCUUCAAGGCGGCCCUCUGCCACUUCUGCAUCGACAUGCUCAACGCCAAGCUGGCUGUCCAAAAGUAUGAGGAGCUGUUCCCGGCUUUCUCUGAUUCCCGGGAAUGCAAGUUGAUGAAAAAAUUGCUAGAGGCCCACGAGGAGCAGAAUGUGGACAGCUACACCGAGUCGGUGAAGGAAUACGAUUCCAUCUCCCGGCUGGACCAGUGGCUCACCACCAUGCUGCUGCGCAUCAAGAAGACCAUCCAGGGCGACGAGGAGGACCUGCGCUAAGCCCCACCCAGCCCCCUAGUGCCCAUCUUCCUGUCCCAUCUGCUCAGAGAGGUGGGGCCGAGACUUGCUGGAGAGCUUCCCUCCUUUCCUACCUGGGGAGUCCCGCGGGCCACAGUGGGCAGGCGGCACCGGGGGUCAGCAUGCAGGGGCACCAGAGGCCCAGGCUGCUGGCUGGACAGUCAUCCUCUGUUCUCGCUACAUCCCUUGCCCCUUGUCCAUUUAUUUAAGCCCCCAUAGGUGCCCUUCACCCCCAAAACCAGCUGUACAGAAUCUUUGAUAUGGACCUAUUUGCUAGGGGUGCUGCCGGGGGUUUGGGGUCAGCAUCUGGCCCCCUAUCUCCUGACCAGCUGAGUCAUGAGGCCGGUUUCUGUCUCUCCCACUUUUGUCCCCCAGCCAAGCUCUAAAGCACAUGUAGCCGCUGAGACCUGCUGUUUCUGCUGGGGGCAGGCUCCUCUUCCCCCAGCCCCGGGAGCCUCCCCCAGCUUCCUGCAGCCCCGACCUCUCAGGUUAGACCCUGGGCCCUGGAGCUUAGGGGAUUCUCCCCCACCCCAGCCCCACACCUGCUCCUUCCCUAAUGCUUUGAGGUUUUCUUGGUUGGAAGCUGCAGCUGGCCCAAGAAAGAAAAUAAAAAACAACACUUGCAUG
rnacentral:sRNA from 1 species